GAUGAACGCUGGCGGCGUGCUUAACACAUGCAAGUCGAACGGAAAGGCCCAAGCUUGCUUGGGUACUCGAGUGGCGAACGGGUGAGUAACACGUGGGUGAUCUGCCCUGCACUUCGGGAUAAGCCUGGGAAACUGGGUCUAAUACCGGAUAGGACGAUGGUUUGGAUGCCAUUGUGGAAAGUUUUUUCGGUGUGGGAUGAGCUCGCGGCCUAUCAGCUUGUUGGUGGGGUAAUGGCCUACCAAGGCGUCGACGGGUAGCCGGCCUGAGAGGGUGUACGGCCGCAAUGGAAACGAGAUACGGCCCAGACUCCUGAGGGAGGCACCAGGGGGGAAUAUUGCACAAUGGGCGAAAGCCUGAGGCAGCAAGGCCGCGUGGGGGAAGACGGCUUUUGGGUUGUAAAAUCCUUUCGCUAGGGAAGAAGCGUUUUUGUGACGGUACCUGGAGAAGAAGCACCGGCUAACUACGUG
rnacentral:rRNA from 1 species